ACCGAGCUCAGUUACGAGAGCUUGUAACCCGAGUGGGGGUAUUAAGGUGAUGUGGACGCUGUUGUAGUGUUGUGGGCCUGGCUUGGGUGUGCUACUGCUGGCCCGCCCGUUCCAAGUUGCGUAGUGGACCGGCUGGGGCCUAUGCGAAAGCUGGGCCUCACGGUCCAUAAUGUGGCAGGCACAGCGUGAGGCUGGCUUUACAGAGCAGCGGCAACUGCCCGCUUCCAACGGUGGAAGGAUAACGGGCCGCUGCACUCCUGAGCCACUUGGGCCUCGCAGCCUACUACAGCGAACCAUCACUUUU
rnacentral:SRP_RNA from 2 species